rnacentral:rRNA from 1 species
UACGUAGGGUGCGAGCGUUGUCCGGAAUUACUGGGCGUAAAGAGCUCGUAGGUGGUUUGUCGCGUUGUUCGUGAAAACUCACAACUCAAUUGUGGGCGUGCGGGCGAUACGGGCAGACUGGAGUACUGCAGGGGAGACUGGAAUUCCUGGUGUGGCGGUGGAAUGCGCAGAUAUCGGGAAGAACACCCGUGGCGAAGGCGGCUCUCUGGGACGGUACUGACGCUGAGACGCGAAAGCGUGGGGAGCGAACAGG